rnacentral:ncRNA from 1 species
AAAUGAUUCGUCGGGAGUCUGUGGAAUCAGGCUGAGAGUACAACUAAUCUGUUGUAGACCGUUAUAACCUGUUGGGUAAUGCCAGCGUAGGGAAAGUGAUGAAGAAUAAUU